CCUACGGGAGGCAGCAGUGAGGAAUAUUGGUCAAUGGACGAGAGUCUGAACCAGCCAAGUAGCGUGAAGGAUGACUGCCCUAUGGGUUGUAAACUUCUUUUAUUUGGGAAUAAAACGUUCCACGUGUGGGAUUUUGUAUGUACCAUAUGAAUAAGGAUCGGCUAACUCCGUGCCAGCAGCCGCGGUAAUACGGAGGAUCCGAGCGUUAUCCGGAUUUAUUGGGUUUAAAGGGAGCGUAGGUGGAUUGUUAAGUCAGUUGUGAAAGUUUGCGGCUCAACCGUAAAAUUGCAGUUGAAACUGGCAGUCUUGAGUACAGUAGAGGUGGGCGGAAUUCGUGGUGUAGCGGUGAAAUGCUUAGAUAUCACGAAGAACUCCGAUUGCGAAGGCAGUUCACUGGACUGCAACUGACACUGAGGCUCGAAAGUGUGGGUAUCAAACAGGAUUAGAUACCCUUGUAGUC
rnacentral:rRNA from 1 species